AUGCAAGUCGAACGAGGGCCCGGAGCUUGCUCUGGUGACCCGAGUGGCGGACGGGUGAGUAACACGUGACCAACCUACCUUCGGGAGGGGGACAACCUGGGGAAACCCGGGCUAAUACCGCAUAUCGUCCACGGGCCGCAUGACCUGUGGAUAAAAGGGAGCCUCUGCUUGCAAGCUUCCACCCGAAGAGGGGGUCGCGGCGUAUCAGCUAGUUGGUGGGGUAAUGGCCUACCAAGGCAUCGACGCGUAGCGGGUCUGAGAGGACGACCCGUCACAUUGGGACUGAGAUACGGCCCAGACUCCUACGGGAGGUAGCAGUAGGGAAUAUUGCGCAAUGGCCGAAAGGUUGACGCAGCGACGCCGCGUGUGGGAGGACGCCCUUCGGGGUGUAAACCACUGUCAGGGGGGAAGAACUUCGCAGGUGUGAAUAGCGCUUGCGGUUGACGGUACCCCCAGAGGAAGCGCCGGCUAACUCCGUGCCAGCAGCCGCGGUAAGACGGAGGGCGCAAGCGUUGUUCGGAUUUACUGGGCGUAAAGGGCAGGUAGGUGGUCUGUUAAGUCUUCUGUGAAAAUCCGGGGCUCAACCCCGCGAAAUGCAGGUGAAACUGGCAGACUGGA
rnacentral:rRNA from 1 species